GGCCUGGAAUAACACGAGGAAACUUGUGCUAAUACCGGAUAAGUCUUUACGGAGAAAGCUUUAUGCACCAUUGGAUGAGCCUGCACUUGAUUAGUUUGUUGGUGGGGUAAUGGCCUACCAAGACUGUGAUCAAUAGCUGAUUUGAGAGGAUGAUCAGCCACAUUGGGACUGAGACACGGCCCAAACUCCUACGGGAGGCAGCAGUGGGGAAUCUUGCACAAUGGAGGAAACUCUGAUGCAGCGAUGCCGCGUGAGUGAAGAAGGCCUUUGGGUUGUAAAGCUCUUUCGUCGGGGAAGAAAAUGACUGUACCCGAAUAAGAAGGUCCGGCUAACUUCGUGCCAGCAGCCGCGGUAAUACGAAGGGACCUAGCGUAGUUCGGAAUUACUGGGCUUAAAGAGUUCGUAGGUGGUUGAAAAAGUUGGUGGUGAAAUCCCAGAGCUUAACUCUGGAACUGCCAUCAAAACUUUUCAGCUAGAGUGUGAUAGAGGAAAGCAGAAUUUCUAGUGUAGAGGUGAAAUUCGUAGAUAUUAGAAAGAAUACCAAUUGCGAAGGCAGCUUUCUGGAUCAUUACUGACACUGAGGAACGAAAGCAUGGGUAGCGAAGAGGAUUAGAUACCCUCGUAGUCCAUGCCGUAAACGAUGUGUGUUAGACGUUGGAGAUUUAUUUUCAGUGUCGCAGCGAAAGCGAUAAACACACCGCCUGGGGAGUACGACCGCAAGGUUAAAACUCAAAUGAAUUGACGGGGACCCGCACAAGUAGUGGAGCAUGUGGUUUAAUUCGAAGAUACGCGCAGAACCUUACCAACACUUGACAUGUUCGUCGCGACUUUAAGAGAUUAAAGUUUUCGGUUCGGCCGGACGAAACACA
rnacentral:rRNA from 1 species